rnacentral:rRNA from 1 species
UUGGAGGGCAAGUCUGGUGCCAGCAGCCGCGGUAAUUCCAGCUCCAAUAGCGUAUAUUAAAGUUGUUGCAGUUAAAAAGCUCGUAGUUGAACUUCGGGGUUCACCCAUUGGUCAGGCUUAAUUGUCUGUACUGGUGAGAUAAAUCUCUACCUUCUGAGGAACUUUCAUGCCAUUUAUUUGGUGUGAUUGGAAAUCAGGACUGUUACUUUGAAAAAAUUAGAGUGUUUAAAGCAGGCUAACGUCUGAAUACAUUAGCAUGGAAUAAUGAAAUAGGACGGACUGAUUCUAUUUCGUUGGUUUCUAGGAUCACCGUAAUGAUUAAUAGGGAUAGUUGGGGGCAUUAGUAUUCAAUUGCCAGAGGUGAAAUUCUUGGAUUUAUUGAAGACUAACUACUGCGAAAGCAUUUGCCAAGGAUGUUUUCAUUAAUCAAGAACGAAAGUUAGGGGAUCGAGGACGAUCAGAUACCGUCGUAGUCUUAACCAUAAACUAUGCCGACUAGGGAUCGGACGAAGUUAAUUUUAUAAUGACGCGUUCGGCGCCUUACGGGAAAC